rfam:Dipodomys ordii contig_557, whole genome shotgun sequence.
GGGGGCUCAGUGGUAGAGCGCUUGCCUCGCAAGCAUGAGGCCCGGGGUUCGAUUCCUCAGCACCA